rnacentral:sRNA from 1 species
UGCCUAAUCCCACCGGUAAACGGUGGGCACGGCAUAAAAAACCGAUCAAGGACUGUAAGCCUCUCGUGAGAGCAUCCUUGAUCGGUUAUCGGCCGAAAGGUCGGUAGGUGACGUAAGUCAUC